GUAUAAACCCUAAACCCUUCUCCCCGCGCCCGCGCUGUUGUUAGUUCCAAAUCUCCGGCUCUCGGGAAAGAAAGAAGACGCGGCAAAGAAGCCGCGGAAGACCGAACGGCGAGAUUCUAGAUAUAGUCGUUUUCCUCCAUCAAGAAACAAGAAGAAGAAGAAGAUGGUGAAGGCAUAUCUCAGGUACGAGCCGGCGGCCGUUUUCGGGGUGGUGGCGUCGGUGGAGUCCAACGUCUGUUAUGAUAAUACCGGGAAGUUACUCUUCACUGGCGCCCUCGAGCAGUUGUGCGUCUGGAACCUGAAGCAGGGGCUUUGCAUCAAGGCAUUGGCGUCGUCCACCUCAUCGAGUGGCCCCAAGUCUGCCGCCUCUGCUAUUGCAUGUUCUCCUUCUUCCGAUUCCACAGUUGCAUGCGGAUAUGCAGAUGGGAGCAUCAAGAUUUGGGAUUUUGUAAGAGGUACCUGUGAAACAACAUUGAAUGGGCAUAAAGGUGCUGUGACAGCUCUGCGCUACAAUAAGAAUGGAUCUUUGCUUGCAUCAGGGAGCAAAGACAAUGACAUUAUUCUGUGGGAUGUUGUUGGUGAAGCUGGGCUGUUCCGUCUUCGUGGACAUAAGGACCAGGUAACUGAUCUCAUUUUUCUAGAGUCUGGUAAAAAACUUAUAAGUUGCUCAAAAGACAAGUUUGUGAGGGUGUGGGACAUUGAUACCCAGCAUUGCAUGCAAAUAAUUGGAGGUCAUCAGAGUGAAGUUUGGUCUUUAGAUGUGAAUCCAGGAGAGAAAUAUAUGGUUACUGGAUCGGCUGACCAGGAGCUUCGUUUUUACAAGAUACAGAGUGAGCCUCAAGAUGGAAGAUCCCAUUUAGCUACAGAAGAUGGUCCCAAUAAUAAUUUGGAAUCUGGCACAAAUAAGUGGCAAAUAUUAAAGCAAUUUGGAGAAAUCAAGCGCCAAAGCAAGGAUAGAGUAGUAACUGUAAGAUUUAAUAAGGUGGGGAAUCUUAUUGCUUGCCAAGUGGCUGGGAAGACAGUGGAACUAUUUCGUGUCCUUGAUGAUGAUGAAGCAAAGAGAAAAGCGAAAAAACGAGUCCAGCGAAAGAAAGAAAAGCUUUUGAAUAAAAAGACGAAGGAGUUGGGUGAAAGUGGAGAUGUAACUCUUCUAUCAAAAGAUGAAGUUGCUAGUCCUGUCCCUGUUGUUUCUGAUGUCUUCAGAUUCUUGCAAACCUUGCAGACAAAAAAGAAAAUAUGCUCUUUAUCAUUUUGUCCAGCUGCUCCUAAGAACCCUUUUCUGGAAACUGUAGCAUUGUCUUUGAACAACAAUAUGAUUGAGGUUUAUUCCAUUCAAACCGAUUCAUCAACCAAAGUUCACACAGUUUAUCUUCCUGGCCAUCGUUCUGAUAUUCGGAGCGUUGCACUUAGCUCGGAUAGCACAAUGCUGAUGUCAACAAGUCAUGAUUCUGUAAAGAUUUGGAAUCCUAGUAGUGGUUCUUGCCUUCGCACUAUUGAAUCUGGCUAUGGUUUAUGCAGCCUAUUUGUUCCAGGGAACAGGUUUGCAUUAAUCGGAACUAAAAGUGGAACAUUAGAAGUCAUUGAUAUUGGGAGCAGCAGCCGUACUGAAUUAAUUGAAGCACAUACUGAUGCUGUCCGAUCAUUAGUCUCGUUGCCAAAUAAGAGUGGUUUUAUAACCAGCAGUGCUGAUCAUGAUGUUAAAUUUUGGGACUACCAGAUUGUGGAGAGAGAUGGGCAUGCAUCCAAGCAAUUAACUGUGCAUAACACAAGGACCUUGAAGAUGGAUGAUGAUGCUCUUGUGGUCAGAGUUAGUCAUGAUUCUAAAUAUAUUGCUGUUUCUCUUCUAGAUUCCACUAUCAAGGUUUUCUUUAUGGAUACCUUGAAGUUCUUUCUUUCUCUUUAUGGCCACAGUCUCCCAGUUCUUUGUAUGGAUAUUUCAUAUGAUGGUGAUUUAUUGGUUAGUGGUUCUGGUGACAAAAAUUUGAAGAUCUGGGGCCUGGACUUUGGUGAUUGUCAUAAAUCCAUUUUUGCACAUGCAGACAGUAUUACAGGUGUUCAGUUUGUACGUAACACACAUUAUGUAUUUAGUGUUGGGAAGGAUCGGUUGGUGAAGUAUUGGGAUGCUGAUAAAUUUGAAUUGCUUUUAACUCUUGAGGGGCAUCAUGCUGCCGUCUGGUGCUUAUCAGUUAGCGAGCAUGGCGACUUUCUUGUCACAGGAUCCAGUGAUCGUUCAAUUCGUCGUUGGGAUCGAACCGAAGAACCAUUUUUUGUUGAGGAAGAGAGAGAAAAAAGGCUGGAAGAAAUGUUUGAAUCUGGCUUAGAUGAUCCUGUGGAGGGUUUAUAUGCACCGAAGGAGGAACUUCCAGAUGAAGGAGCUGUAAGCUUGGCAGGCAAGCAGACGCAGGAGACUCUAAAUUCAACAGACAAACUUAUUGAUGCACUAGAUAUGGCAGAGAUGGAAACUCAACGUAUUCUUCAGCACAAGGAGGAUGUGAAAGCUGGAAAGGCAUCCAUUCUUCAACCAAAUGUGAUGAUGCGUGGGCUUUCUCCAUCUGAAUAUGUUCUCCAUACAAUAUCUUCAGUCCACUCCAGUGACUUAGUGCAGACACUUCUGUUGUUACCUUUCACAGAUGCAUUAAGGCUCAUGACCUACUUGAAAGACUGGAUUGAAUAUCCUGAUAAGGUCGAGCUCAUCUGCAGGAUCACUACAGUGCUCCUGCAGAUUCAUCAUAAUCAAUUGGUUGCGACGCCUACAGCUAGGCCAGUCUUGACUCUUCUUCAGGGUAUACUUUACAAGAGGGUUAAGGAGUGCAAAGAUACGUUGGGUUUCAAUCUUGCUGCUAUGGAUCAUCUCAAGCAAUUGAUGGCGUCAAAAUCUGAUGCUCCGUUUCGUGAUGCGAAGGCUAAACUCAUGGAAAUACGGGCGAAGUAUUCAAUCGUUACAGGAAAGAAAUCUGAUGCGGAAGAGAGAAAAAGCAAAAAGCAGAAGAAAUCCAACUAGUCAGUCUGGAGUCCUGAUCUGCUGUUCCCUUGGUUCUGCAAAGUGCUGUUGUCCAUACCCAAACUUCUUCCCAUUUUUGAAGUUACAUCAAGUUGGUAGUUGACCUUUGUUUCUGUUGCCGUAUGUACAAAAAUGGAGAUACGGAGGCAUUGGGAAAUAAGAGGGAAGAUUUUUCGCCAAAAAGAUGCUAUACCAACCUCUAGCUGUGGCUGCUUGCUGCUCUAGGCGAUUUUUCAAAUGUGAGCAUUCUACCAGAGAGCUUUGGUCCUUUUGGCCUGGUUUUGGCUUAAAAUCCCUGUAUCUGUAAUUUUUUGGGGUUUUGGCGUCAGUUAAGCCUAAUUCUUGUAUCAUUUAUUUGUAUACCCCUCUGUAAAUGAUUUCACUGCCACUUUUCGGUAGCUGAUACGACUAGAAAAGGAGCUGUUAAGUAUUCAUCCUGUCUGGGUUGAUUAGGUUAAAGCAUCAAAGUUGAAGAAUUUCUAAAGUUCAGUGCUAAUCGGAUUUCUCUUUGCGA